GAGAUCUUGUCAAAGUGAUAUAAUACGAAAAAAGCCGUUAUUUCUUCCAUCUCUUUCUUCAAGUUUCACUACUAUUACUACUUUCUUCCACUCUCUUCCAAUGGUUAGAGCUUGCUCGACAAAUCUUUCGUCGUGUUGGAUAGUAUAAACGGACUCUUACGCGUUGACCAGACGCAUUGACCAGACGCGCAUAUAUCUAUACGUACAUAGAGCGCAAGUGCGUGUGUCACAUCUUGACACACAGCCGAAGAAUUCUGUAUACACGCCGGCGCUUCCUGCAGUAAAGUUAACGACCUCGAUUGCAUAUAAAUGCCUGGCUUAAUGGUUUCGAAGUAAGGCCGAAGGCCUCAGCUGAUAAAAUCCACUCUCUCCUAGCGGGGUUUACUACUACGCCCAUUUAAGCCCAUUUCACACGGAAUCUUUCUGUCAGCUUCUAUCUAUGACACGGUGAUAUUUGUUAUUGCAUUAUUACUUUAUCGUAAUAAAUUACUAGUUAUUGGAGAUAAUAUUCUUGUAUUCAUUCACACAAGAAAAAAUGGUAAACAGAAAAAUAUGGCUAUUAUUGCCCCACUAUUGCAUCUAUAUUUUGCGUCACACGUAAUUGGUCGAAUCAUCUGAUGAAGAAAACAUAUAUCUAGUGUGAUUAGAACAAAUGCAAUGACAAUGAAUAUAUUUCAAACAUUUAUCUUAUAAGCAGACUGUUAAUUAUUGAGAAAAUAUAUUGUUAUUAUAGUUUACAAGAAUUUUACUAUGUCAACACAUUAGUAUUCGUAAUAUAUUGAAGCAAAAAUCUCCUGUUUUCUUUCUGCCAUUUCACUCUUCUCGUGGAUGAACGGUACUAUUAUAUGCCAUUCGAUAUUGUGUUAAAUAACACGCUUAAACGUGUGACAGAUAAUUCGAGUUAAAGUUAAAUUCACAUUUUCGAUUAGAAGAGAAUAAACAAAAUUUCAGUUUUUUUAAUUGUUUUCAUGUUUUUCAUUUGUUUCAUUUUCGAAAUAAUAGAUAGAAAUAAGACUUGUCCUAUUUUUCCUAACCUAACCUAAUUCUUUGUUCUUUUGUGAAAUAUUCGAUGAGAAUAUACAUUAGGAAGAAAGAAAGGAAUAGUUACACAGAAAAGAGGGUUAUGAUGACGCAGGCGCUAUUACUGAAGCACGCAGUCAAUAUACGUUAUUUGUACGUGGAAUCGACUCGUAUUUUGGCUUUUAGUCAUCGUCACACAUUCACAAGUCGACUCAUUUCUAUGACACACGCAUGAAAUAAUAUUACAUAUAUGUGUUUAACAUUCAUGCAAAAAAAAAAAGACCAUUUACACUUAGAAUGUACUAUAAUCGCUUUCAAACUUGAUCAAACUUUAUAAAACUUGAAUAACUGGUAAAUUAUAUGGAGGCAAUUUGAA